UCAGUUAAAAAAAAAAAAAAAAGAAAGGGAAGAGAGGGGAAGGGAGAUGCAGGAAAGGGGAAAGGGGAAGGAGAGGAAGGCGGCGCAGUGGGUGUCACUGCCACCGACGCCGCCGCUGUUGGCAAGAGAGAGAGAGAGAGAUCCGCGAGAAGAGGAGGAAGAAGACGCACCACCACACCCAACCACGUUCAGCCCGCCGUCGCGCCGCCACCGCACAGCGUCGCCGCCAUGCCUUCCUUGCCACCGAACGCUGUCGAGAACGAAGGGAGCCAGACACCGCGAGGAAGAAGCUACUCGUCCUGUCGGUCACCGUCGCUGGGGCUGUGAAUCGCCGCUGAGAACCGCGCGAGAGCCAGUGGAGGACAGAGCCUCUGCUGCGUCCCCGCCGUGCUUCCAUCAGCGCCGAACCGCCAUGCCGUCGCUGCUGUUGGGUUGACACCGCCGCUACUGCCCAAGCCGUCAUCAUCGCAUAACACACACACAUAGAAGAGGAAGAAAGGAUCUCCGCCGUUGCCAAGGUCAUUGGUGAGUUCUGUGCCACCAUUAGGAUCACUGUUCUGCCACCAUUGAAGCUCGUCAGAGAAGGAGCUAUUGUCAGAAGAAGAUACUGCUGUCCUUGCUCUAUACUGUUCUGUUCUGCCCCUGCUUCUGGUUUUGCAAUUGCCAAAGUCUCUGCUGCCAUGGGUAUUGCCGUUGGGGUUGUUGGGAACCAACGAUGGAGCUUCCCGGAAACCCUAUUGUAAGCUAUCUCUAUUUUCAAUUCCAUUAAAUUCAUUUCCAUUUCCGAUUCCAUUGAAUUUGAAUUCUCUAUUUUGUUGCAACAUUGGUUACUGCUAUGAGAAUUAUUGAUGUCGUUGUUACUGGAGUAUCAUUGGAAUUGACGUCGCUAUUAACCCGGUUAAUGCUGCCCCUAGGAUGUAUGCCUUGGUCUUUGGUCUGUGUUCUUCUGAGUACCAGAGCUGCUGCUCCAUUCCCGUAUUUCUUUUGGUUUCUAUUAAAUUUCCUUCCAAAGUUGCUGUUGCUGUUCCCGUGGGGGUUAUUGUUAUCACUGUCGCCAUGAAUUGAAAGAAAAGGAAAUUAUCACGAUUAGUUACGUGGACUCAGCUAACUGAGGAACCGGAUGAAGAAGCAUUAAGAAGAGAUAUACUGUAUUUGGUUUAUAAAAUGUUGUAUUAAUUAGAUUAUUUUCUUCUCUCGUCUUUGUUAUUACGAGUUUGUAAGAGGGAUAGGAAUUGUAUGUUUUAUAUGUAUAUUAUAUUAUGAGUUGUUAUCUAAGGAGUCUUGUAUAUGAAUCUAUGCCUGUUUGUAUCUUUCUUAAGAUAAAGUGUUUUGUUUCGGUUUUUCUAAGAAA